GCGUCACUGGAGUAGUGGUUAACUCGUUGCCCUCCCACAGUAGAGAGGCAGAAAGUGCGUCUUGCGCCCCGAAAUGUUGAAUGAUUCACUGCUGACCAAAAUUAAUAGCACUGGUUCGAACCCGGUGUGACGCA
rnacentral:tRNA from 3 species